UACGGAGGGUGCGAGCGUUGUCCGGAAUCACUGGGCGUAAAGGGCGCGUAGGCGGCCUGUUAAGUUGCCGGUGAAAUCCCGGGGCUCAACCCCGGGGCUGCCGGUAAGACUGGCGGGCUCGAGCACGGUAGAGGCAGAUGGAAUUCCCGGUGUAGCGGUGGAAUGCGUAGAGAUCGGGAAGAACACCAGUGGCGAAGGCGUUCUGCUGGGCCGUUGCUGACGCUGAGGCGCGACAGCGUGGGGAGCAAACAGG
rnacentral:rRNA from 1 species